rnacentral:rRNA from 1 species
GACGAACGCUGGCGGCGUGCUUAACACAUGCAAGUCGAACGGAAAGGCCCUUCUUUUGUGGGGUGCUCGAGUGGCGAACGGGUGAGUAACACGUGAGUAACCUGCCCUUGACUUUGGGAUAACUUCAGGAAACUGGGGCUAAUACCGGAUAGGAGCUCCUGCUGCAUGGUGGGGGGUGGAAAGUUUCGGCGGUUGGGGAUGGACUCGCGGCUUAUCAGCUUGUUGGUGGGGUAGUGGCUUACCAAGGCUUUGACGGGUAGCCGGCCUGAGAGGGUGACCGGCCACAUUGGGACUGAGAUACGGCCCAGACUCCUACGGGAGGCAGCAGUGGGGAAUAUUGCACAAUGGGCGGAAGCCUGAUGCAGCAACGCCGCGUGCGGGAUGACGGCCUUCGGGUUGUAAACCGCUUUCGCCUGUGACGAAGCGUGAGUGACGGUAAUGGGUAAAGAAGCACCGGCUAACUACGUG